AGAACCUUCUGUCCUUGAACCUAAAAAAAGAUAACUGAAGUGUAAGGAGCUGAAAUAUUUCUACUGUGAUAAACAAGAGCAAGUUGCUUAUUAAAAGGCCGGAUGUUACCUCUGAUUCUUUCUUUAGCUUCUGUAUAUCCAGGAUGGAGAAUACAAGCCACUCACCAUUGUGUUAGAAAGAGAAAAUGACACAUUGGGAUUCAAUAUUAUAGGAGGUCGACCGAAUCAGAAUAAUGAGGAAGAAACAUUAAC